rnacentral:rRNA from 1 species
GACGAACGCUGGCGGCGUGCCUAAUACAUGCAAGUUGAGCGCUGAAGGUUGGUACUUGUACCAACUGGAUGAGCAGCGAACGGGUGAGUAACGCGUGGGGAAUCUGCCUUUGAGCGGGGGACAACAUUUGGAAACGAAUGCUAAUACCGCAUAAAAACUUUAAACACAAGUUUUAAGUUUGAAAGAUGCAAUUGCAUCACUCAAAGAUGAUCCCGCGUUGUAUUAGCUAGUUGGUGAGGUAAAGGCUCACCAAGGCGACGAUACAUAGCCGACCUGAGAGGGUGAUCGGCCACAUUGGGACUGAGACACGGCCCAACCUCCUACGGGAGGCAGCAGUAGGGAAUCUUCGGCAAUGGACGAAAGUCUGACCGAGCAACGCCGCGUGAGUGAAGAAGGCUUUCGGAUCGUAAAACUCUGUUGGUAGAGAAGAACGUUGGUGAGAGUGGAAAGCUCAUCAAGUGACGGUAACUACCCAGAAAGGGACGGCUAACUACGUG